UACAUGGGGUGCAAACGUUGCUCGGAAUUAUUGGGCGUAAAGCGCGCGUAGGCGGUUACUUAAGUCGGAUGUGAAAGCCCUCGGCUUAACUGAGGAAGUGCACCCGAAACUGAGUAGCUGGAGUACGAAAGAGGGUCGCGGAAUUCCCGGUGUAGCGGUGAAAUGCGCAGAUAUCGGGAGGAACACCUAUGGCGAAGGCAGCUCGCUGGGACGUUACUGACGCUGAGACGCGAAAGCGUGGGGAGCAAACAGG
rnacentral:rRNA from 1 species